rnacentral:rRNA from 1 species
AUACGGAGGGUGCGAGCGUUAAUCGGAAUUACUGGGCGUAAAGCGCGCGUAGGCGGUUGGGUAAGUCGGAUGUGAAAGCCCCGGGCUUAACCUGGGAAUUGCAUUCGAUACUGCCCGGCUAGAGCAUGGUAGAGGGAAGCGGAAUUCCGGGUGUAGCGGUGAAAUGCGUAGAUAUCCGGAGGAACACCAGUGGCGAAGGCGGCUUCCUGGACCAAUUCUGACGCUGAGGUGCGAAAGCGUGGGGAGCAAACAGGAUUAGAAACCCCAGUAGUCC